rnacentral:misc_RNA from 1 species
GAUGAAGAACGCAGCGAAAUGCGAUAAGUAAUGUGAAUUGCAGAAUUCAGUGAAUCAUCGAAUCUUUGAACGCACAUUGCGCCCGCCAGUAUUCUGGCGGGCAUGCCUGUUCGAGCGUCAUUUCAACCAUCAAGCCCGGCUUGUGUUGGGGCCCUGCGGCUGUCCGCAGGCCCUUAAAACCAGUGGCGGGCUCGCUGUCACUCCGAGCGCAGUAAUACAUCUCGCUCUGGGCGUGCUGCGGGUUCCGGCCGUUAAACCACCUUCAUAACCCAAGGUUGACCUCGGAUCAGGUAGGAAGACCCGCUGAACUUAAGCAUAUCAAUAAGCGGAGGA